rnacentral:rRNA from 1 species
UACGGAGGGUGCAAGCGUUAUCCGGAUUCACUGGGUUUAAAGGGUGCGUAGGAGGGCAGGGUAAGUCAGCGGUGAAAUCUCCGAGCUUAACUCGGAAACUGCCUUGAUACUAUCUGUCUUGAAUAUCUGGAGGUGAGCGGGAAUAUGUCAUGUAGCGGUGAAAUGCUUAGAUAUGACAUAGAACACCAAUUGCGAAGGCAGCUCACUACGGGUGAUUGACACUGAGGCACGAAAGCGUGGGGAUCAAACAGG